rnacentral:snRNA from 1 species
GUAAACCCGUAAGGCGCA